CAUCGUCCAGGAGGCUGUAGGUUGCGUAGUUCUUAGUUUGAUGCCUUUUACAAGAGUUAAAGUUUGUACUGAUCCUAUCCACUCUCCGUCACAUACAAGUAUCGAUGUUCAAGUUAUUGCUAACACGAACACCAAGUUUUGAUUCUAGUUCCUAUCUAUUCUAAUUAGUGAAUGGUAGAAUUGACCCAAGGCUGAGAUCGAAGUUUUAAAAGUCAAUUUCUUUCCAUUUUUGCAAUUCAAGUCAAUUUAAGAGAUUGUGAUAUAUAAGACUUGUUUAACUGUUUAUUAAUAAAGUCACACACACUCCCUGAUAUACUCCCUGAUAUACUACCUGAUAUAAUCUUGAAGCACUUUUUGGUUUUUGGUUUUUGAUCCAUUUUGGUUUCGAAUAGAGGAAUGAGAGUAAUUACAACUUCCAUUUCUUUUAAUACAAUUAAUUACUUUUAUUUCAUUUCUCGUCGUUAAUUUAAUUACGUGUAAAAGAAUUAUUAUUUACUUAAUCAAGAACGUCGUUGUUCCCUUUGAAACUCUAGCACGCUCCUAAAAUUUUAGGUCAGGGGUGUAAGUAAAUUAAUAAUAAGCUACGAAGUCGAACAGACUCCUGUACAUAUUAUGUACUGCAGGCAUUCGGAAAUUAAAGAUCUUGUCUCUUAAACUUUCAAAUGAUUAAAGUUUUGAGAGCGGUGAGCCAAUAUUGUUAAUAGUUCACUCCGAUCAGAUUUCACGUCAAGCUUGCCGCAUCGAGAAAUCCUAAAAAUUCUGGUCCAACCAGAUCGUUCCAUUCUCCCCGUUAUCAAUUUUCGUAGCAACGAAUCGCUCGCUCGGGAAAGUUGCACAAACACACAUGAAAAUGAACACGACAGAGAACCUAUAUUUUAAAACGAUUAAAUAAUAAACGUCCCGCGAACAGAAAGAAAUCGCAAUUAUCAAUUAAAAUUCCAAUUAAUCGAAACAUCCGACGGCGAGGUACAGAUUCGCGCGAUGCGAGUAAAAUUUUUCCUCGUUACCGAUGACCUAUCGGGUCUCCCCCCCCCUCUCCCCCCUUCUCUUUCUUCGCUUUUCCACUCUCGCCGUUAUUAUUUUUAAUUCCACGGCAAAACCGACGGGAAUAAUUGAUCCCAGUAAAACGUAACAGCAUAGAGUUCGUGUUCGCCAACUGAGAAUUUAUUGCGAACGAACGCCGGUUUGGAGGCCGGUUUUUAUUACCUUGUUGCACGCUCGUAGGAAAAGCCGUUGUUGUUUCGCGAGCUGACCCGAUUCUCAAUGAUCGAUACGCAUCGCGUGCCGUAAGAAGGUAAACGAAAAAUCAAAAUGAAAGACGAGAGAUGCGAGCGAGAACGAUGACGCGCGGACCAACGGAAAGUUGAUUAAUUAAAACUCGCGAGAGGGGAGGGGGGGGGGAACGAUGCCGACGAGAUUGAACUUCCUCUCGGCCGUGUGGUUGAAUGAAAAAGAAAUUCUCUAUUGACACGUAGGGAUGGGCACGAAGUUAAAUCAAACGUGUUUGGACUCACGCUCAUCGAAACGUUCAGGUUUAUAGGAAAUCUUGACCACUUGUCUUAUAUUGUAGUUUGUAGUAUCCAAAUUUUAAAAUUAAAUUCCCUAGCCUCAUCCGUUUCUCAUUUUUCCCAACGUAAUUUGUCUCGUUCGGUGUCAAAUUGACAAAAUUAAUCUCCGAGAUGAGAAACUAAAUAAUUGAAUUUUAUAUUCGCACAAAUCAGUUUCGUAUCGCGAUCGUAUUCUCUCUAGUUUCGUCAUGACUAUUUUGUCAGAAUUACAUUGUAAAUGGUUACGAGCAAAGGAAGUGCAUUAAACAUCGCAUAAUGAUACGCAUGCGAUACGUUAUAAUAACAAUUAAAUUGCAAUAGACUGCUUGUCAGGAGACUUGAAAGCGAAUAUUAUUUGACUCUGACAGCAUAUUUUUUUUAUCGAAAACAUCGGAAUACUUGUAUAACAUGACAUUUUAUAAGAAAAACGUGUCAAAUUGAUACGAAGGAUAGAUGAAAGUUAAAUGAAAGAUUAAUAAGGACAAAUUAUAUAUAACAAUUCACUUUACAUUUAAUGUGAUGUUACAACUAUUAUACAAUAACUAAAUGCUUGCGUAAGAAGAUUAAAAGAAACUCGUAUGGCAAGGGAUUUUCAAAUUCAAACCUGCUCGUGAGGUAUUCAAUGCCAUCUCUAAUUUCCAAGCUACUCUGAAUACUGGACUUCUUGUAAAAUACACGCGAGCCAUAGUAAUCUCCUCCGCUUCCAUUGCAAGAGGCAACGUCUGAAAAUGAAUGAAAAAUCCACGAUGCAGAUAAAUAGAUUGGAAUAUUGCAAAUGGUAAGGAAAUCCUAAUAAAAUGGCUAGGUUUUAUUUUCCGUCCGACUGAGAUUUCAUCUUAGGGUGACUGAUCGCCAAAGCACUCCACCUUUUUGGCUGAAAUCUCUCGGAAGGAGUUUCUCGCCAUUUCCUGAUCCUUCGUGUGCAAACACGGCGCUGUUACUGCGAAGAGAACAUCGAAGAAGCACGGGCAACCAAACUCCCGGAAAUUUCAUUCGUGCAUGUGCUUUGACAUGGAGAAAUCGCAUUCGCUCUUACCCCGAGGAUUAUAAAUUGUUCAUCAGACGCACGAGCUGACUAUUAUUAAAGAGGAUAAUGGAAAAUGGUCGAGAAGAUUAUCCACACGAUUCACCGAUAAAAAUACGAUAGAGAGGAAAACAGGAGACUUUAUAUAUAUAUAUAUAUAUAUAUAUAUAUAUAUCUUUACACGAUUUAUGGAUAAAUCACCAUAUUUUCUUUGACAUAUGUAUUUAUCGUUUGCAGGUAGUAUUUAAACGGGAUAGAGACGCCGGAAAGUUUAAGGAAAACAAGAAAAAGGAAGUGUGAAAAAAUUCUUCUGGGAGAGGCAGAGGCAAGACAGAAAGACGGACAAUUUUUCAAAAUUACCAUUUUUAUUUAAAAAAACAAAAAUACAUCUUCUUUAUUAU